rnacentral:rRNA from 1 species
AUUGAACGCUGGCGGCAUGCCUUACACAUGCAAGUCGAACGGCAGCACGGGAGCAAUCCUGGUGGCGAGUGGCGAACGGGUGAGUAAUACAUCGGAACGUGCCCAGUAGUGGGGGAUAGCCCGGCGAAAGCCGAAUUAAUACCGCAUGAGACCUGAGGGUGAAAGCGGGGGAUCGCAAGACCUCGCGCUAUUGGAGCGGCCGAUGUCAGAUUAGCUAGUUGGUGGGGUAAAGGCCUACCAAGGCAACGAUCUGUAGUUGGUCUGAGAGGACGACCCGUCGCACUGGGAGUGAGACACGGCCCAGACUCCUACGGGAGGCAGCGGUGGGGAAUUUUGGACAAUGGACGCAAGCCUGAUCCAGGAAUGCCGCGUGCAGGAAGAAGGCCUUCGGGUUGUAAACUGCUUUUGUCAGGGAAGAAAUCCUCUGGGUUAAUACCUCGGGGGGAUGACGGUACCUGAAGAAUAAGCACCGGCUAACUACGUGCCAGCCGCCGCCGUAA